rnacentral:rRNA from 1 species
UGCAAGCGUUAUCCGGAUUUAUUGGGUUUAAAGGGUGCGCAGGCGGACCUGUCAGUCAGUGGUGAAAACCCGGGGCUCAACUCCGGAACUGCCAUUGAUACUGCAGGCCUUGAAUCCGGUUGAAGUGGGCGGAAUGUGUCAUGUAGCGGUGAAAUGCAUAGAUAUGACACAGAACACCGAUCGCGAAGGCAGCUCACUAAGCCGGCAUUGACGCUCAUGCACGAAAGCGUGGGGAGCGAACAGGAUUAGAUACCCUGGUAGUCCACGCAGUAAACGAUGAUCACUCGUUGUUGGCGAUACACAGUCAGCGA